rnacentral:rRNA from 1 species
GACGAACGCUGGCGGCGUGCUUAACACAUGCAAGUCGAACGGAAAGGCCUUUUCGGAGGUACUCGAGUGGCGAACGGGUGAGUAACACGUGGGUGAUCUGCCCUGCACUCUGGGAUAAGCCUGGGCAACUGGGUCUAAUACCGGAUAGGAACGCACUUUUGUGUGUGUGGUGGAAAGUUUUUUCGGUGGUGGAUGAGCCCGCGGCCUCUCAGCUUGUUUGUGGGGUAAUGGCCUACCAAGGCGGCGACGGGUAGCCGGACUGAGAGGUUGGUCGGCCACAUUGGGACUGAGAUACGGCCCAGACUCCUACGGGAGGCAGCAGGGGGGAAUAUUGCACAAUGGGCGCAAGCCUGAUGCAGCGACGCCGCGUGGGGGAUGACGGCCUUCGGGUUGGAAACUCCUUUCGCCAGGGACGAAGCGUUUUGUGACGGUACCUGGAGAAGAAGCACCGGCUAACUACGUG